rnacentral:rRNA from 1 species
GGAUUAGAUACCCUGGUAGUCCUAGCUGUAAACGAUGGAUACUAGACGUAGGAACUGGAUUGACGGUUUCUGUGUCGCAGCUAACGCGUUAAGUAUCCCGCCUGGGGAGUACGGCCGCAAGGUUAAAACUCAAAUGAAUUGACGGGGACCCGCACAAGCGGUGGAGCAUGUGGUUUAAUUCGAUGCAACGCGAAAAACCUUACCUACACUUGACAUACUUGGAAUCUUUUGUAAUGAAAGAGUGCCUUUUGGAGCCAAGAUACAGGUGCUGCAUGGCUGUCGUCAGCUCGUGCCG